GAGGGAAUCUUCCACAAUGGGCGAAAGCCUGAUGGAGCAACGCCGCGUGUGUGAUGAAGGCUUUCGGGUCGUAAAGCACUGUUGUAUGGGAAGAACAGCUAGAAUAGGAAAUGAUUUUAGUUUGACGGUACCAUACCAGAAAGGGACGGCUAAAUACGUGCCAG
rnacentral:rRNA from 1 species